ensembl:lncRNA
UGUCAGUUGAGGAGCUAUUGGCUGGCAGGGCAGCAAGCAGCCCACUGCAUGGCUUUGCCUCAGGGGGUCUCCUGCAUGGGGAGCAGCCCAAUUUGAGGAUUCUUCUUGCCUUUCUCUGCAAAAUGAGAACUCAUCCCUCCUUCUGGACCAGUUGGAAAAGUUACCAAAGCAAACUCCCUGCUUUUGCAGAAUACUGGUGAUAUUCUUGAUCUUUUUGUCUCCCCUUUCAUAUUCUGUAACUUCUGAUGUAUGCUGUUUCUAUCUUCUUCUCCACUUAGUAUAUUCCAUACUUCCAGUUUAUUAAUUUGUUUUCUCCUAAAGUGGGAUAUGUUUAUAUGUUUUUAGGCAAAACAAUAUUUGCACUUUGCCAAGGAAUUUGAGAUUCCUUGGACAUUUUAAUGUCUGUUUGUAGAUAUACGCAUCUGUGUUGUGUGUAUGUAUGUAUACAGACAAUGACACUAUAGAUAUACAUGCAAAUACAUGUAGUUA